GACGAACCGUGCGAACGUUAUUCGGAAUCACUGGGCUUAAAGCGCGUGUAGGCGGGACGGCACGUCUGUCGCUGAAAUCCCCCGGCUUAACCGGGGAACUGGCGGAGAUACGACCGUCCUGGAGGGGCGUAGGGGGACCUGGAACUUCCGGUGGAGCGGUGAAAUGCGUUGAGAUCGGAAGGAACGCCCGUGGCGAAAGCGAGGUCCUGGACGCCUACUGACGCUGAGACGCGAAAGCCAGGGGAGCGGAA
rnacentral:rRNA from 1 species